UACAGAGGGGGCAAGCGUUGUUCGGAAUUACUGGGCGUAAAGGGCGCGUAGGCGGCCUGCUAAGUCGAACGUGAAAUCCCCGUGCUCAACCCGGGAACUGCGUCCGAUACUGGCAGGCUUGAAUCCGGGAGAGGGAUGUGGAAUUCCAGGUGUAGCGGUGAAAUGCGUAGAUAUCUGGAGGAACACCGGUGGCGAAGGCGGCAUCCUGGACCGGCAUUGACGCUGAGGCGCGAAAGCCAGGGGAGCAAACGGG
rnacentral:rRNA from 1 species